AUGAUGAUUAAAUAAUGUCAUUAAACUCAAAGCUUGUGUUAGUCUUUAUCAAUUUGUAAGAAAUUGGACGAAUAUCUCCCUAACAUAGGGAGCAUGUGCUGCUACGUCAUUUAGCAUUAAAAGGUGUUGCCUUUACUCAGCUGAAGAAAACGUAAAAGCAGCCACGGAACAAUGCCAUUUUUUGCACUAAUUUAAAGGCACAAUUUUUCAUCCCUGAUCUUGACAUAUGAGUGUUGGCCAUCACUAUUGCAACUCUAGUUGGGGAGGUCAGGUUUUAAUCAAUUAAUAUAAGCCCCCGUUUGACAACCAUUAUUUCGAAAAUAUAGAGUUAUGAAUAAUGAUUUUAUAUUGAUAACAGUGAUCUUACAUGCUUAUCCUCCGACUUAAACUUGAUAAAUAAUUUAUGUUUGAGCGAAAUGCUACCCAAUUUAGUGUAAAUAUUAUAAUUGUAGGUAAAAUCCAUAUUAUGAAACAUUUGUAGCAAAAAAGAAAGGUUUUGGGAUAAUACAGAAUUGAUUCAGAGCUUUUGAAGGCUAACGGAAUGCAGGGGAUCGAUAAUGAGUAUUAAGAAAGCAAUCAGAGGAAAGAACCAUGUUUUGAUGCAAAAUUUGACUUUUCAACUAAUUUGCACACUUUUGGAACUUGAGAAAGACUACUUUCGGAUGAUUGUUGAGGUUCUAGGACCAAUGUGGAAGCUUUUGAAAGUUGUGAUAUCAAAUAUUGAAGAAUUGGAGCAAAAAGAAACAAAAAUGGACAAAAAUGUUGAAGUAGAGACCAAACCACAACAUUUCGAAAUUAAGGGGCUAACUUGGACUUGUUGAAUAGUGAAAAACCAAAAUUGAUGAAAUGAAAAGUUGGGGGAUCAAGUUUAACAAAACUAAAAGUUUAGAAACUUGAUGUGCAUUUUAAUGUUGAAAAGUAAAAAUAAUAAUAAUAGUCAAGUGAAAAAAGUAAAAAAGAACAAAAAACUGCAUUGCUGUGAGACCCAAAAAGGAAUUAAUUUACAUCAAUUCUCUGUUUAUCAUAAAUAAUCUAUUUGUGCCCUUUUUCAUUACUUCCAUUUAUUUAUAAUAUUAUGAUAAAAAUCAAAAUCACAUUUAAUUAUUUUUACUCUUAUAGAAGUUGGGCGUAAUUAAACCAAUCAUUAAAUUAUAAUCCUCUCGGAAACGAUGAUCCAAACUCGUAGGUUCACUUUACAGUUUGUUUAAUUGACAAUGUACAUUACAAUAAAUCACAAAUUUUUUGCGUUGUGGCCAUAAGCUAUUUUUGUUUGAUAGUAAUUUAAAUUAUAUCUAACUUUUGUUUGAAUUUUAGUUUGUUUAUUUAGAAGCAGAGACCAGCAACAAUAUGAGAUGAGAGAUUCCGACAUUGAUGAUGACGACAUGCUUGUGAGAGAUAUUUUCGUCAUGCGAUGAUUUAACAUGUCGGGAUUCGAUACGCUAGCCAAAAUUAAUGAGGGUGACUUUUUAGUGAGAUUCUUUCUCCCAUUGAUCAUCAGGGCAAGACUUGCCCUUGGGAGAAUUAUGGAACUCACUUUUAUCGAGCUUCCAAAUAUAGGGUGUGAACGUGGACCACAUAAGUACAACCUAUGAAAUCUAUGGUUAAGUUCAGAUUAUCCACGCCAGCAGACUCAUAAACAUACAACACAUGAGCAGCACACAAAUUUUUAUUAGGUCCGUUUGAUUACAAAGAUGAAAUUUGGGUAAAAAAAUGAAUUUCAGGAAAUUGGAUUGUCUAGAAAUUAUUUUAUUGAGAAUUUUCAAUUAUUGUGUUUGAUUAGUAUAAUUUUUCACGUGGAAAAUAUUGAAAUAAAAGUGUUUUUUGGUAUUCG
rnacentral:lncRNA from 1 species